CAGUCGCCGCGGUAAUACAGAGGGUGCGAGCGUUAAUCGGAUUUACUGGGCGUAAAGCGUGCGUAGGCGGCUAAUUGAGUCGGAUGUGAAAUCCCCGAGCUUAACUUGGGAAUUGCAUUCGAUACUGGUUAGCUAGAGUGUGGGAGAGGAUGGUAGAAUUCCAGGUGUAGCGGUGAAAUGCGUAGAGAUCUGGAGGAAUACCGAUGGCGAAGGCAGCCAUCUGGCCUAACACUGACGCUGAGGUACGAAAGCAUGGGGAGCAAACAGGAUUAGAGACCCCGGUAGUCCCUGUCUCUUAUAC
rnacentral:rRNA from 1 species